rnacentral:lncRNA from 10 species
AAAGCGAAGAGCCCUGGGUGGAGGAUGCUGGAAACCCAAGUCAGGUCCCAGCUGUGCCCCUGCCCGCCAUGUCCUGGGGAAGGUUGCUUUGCCUCACUGGGUCUGCUUCCUCAUUGGUCCAAAACAGGGCAUCUUUCCAGAUUGUCAUUCUGAUCUCAGCUUGUGUUUCACUUCCUCAGAGAGGCCUGUCCUUAUCCCCAUCUAAAGUGGCCACCUCCUCGUCACGUUCACAUCACUUCCGUGAUCUGUUUCCUCUGUGGCACGGGCCACCCUUUCUGAACUUCCCUUUGCCACGUCCUACUACAGUGUGAGCUUAAUGAAAGCGGAGACUGCGUUUGUCCUGUCACCUGCUGGCUCACCAGCACCUAGACACAGUAGGUGCUCAAGAAAUAUGGUUGUGUGAAUGAGUGAACAAAGAGGUUAACAAGGGGCUGGGGAUGAUGCAUGCCUGUUUUUCAAACUGUGCUCCUAGGAGCUUUGGACGGGGAGAGCAAGCCCCAUGGCCCUGGAUCCCUCACACCAGCAGCUUGGGGUUCAUCUAAGUUACAUGCCGGCUUCCAGCCACCCAGCCCCACGGUGGGCCUUGCCUCGUCUGUUAGGUGGUAUUUUCAUCUUUGGUCAGAUGACAGCCCCCAUGCUCCAAAAAUUCUCCUGCAGCCAGGGCUUGGAGAAUCCCGACCCCUCUCUGGCAUGAACCUCUCCUCAUCCAGGGUGGCUUGUGUGGUAGAGCCAGGGGAAUGGAGAAGAUGACCUCUGAAGCCUGAAGGCUCUUUGGGAAGCAGGACACAAACAUCCUGAAGAGCCAGCCUUGAGCUGGCUGCACAAGAGACUCAUAGACUUUGCGUCAACAUCCACCUCUCCAGGCUGCAGUGGGUGUACCUGUUCACCACCACCUCCAGCAGCACUGUCGCAGCGGAGCAGUUCUUACAGCCAAUGAGCUUCCACACCACCUCCCUGCAGUUCUCUGCAACCGAGGCUCCAUCCUGCACUGAUGGGCUGCCUGACACGUCGGCCUCAACAAGCAUUUCCAGCACAUUCUCAGCUUUCCUGCUCUGCUGGGCAAAACACAGGGUGAGAAGGGGAGAGGAAGAACGGGACUGUGGCCCAGUUCUAGGCUUGGAGUCUAGCGAGGAACACCAGGUGCCUGCAUUAAAAGGAUGGUUGGAGAGACAAAAGAGGAAAAUGAAUGCUUCCACGAAGCUCCCUCUUUGUGGCAGAAUCAGUCCAAUGGAGAAAUUCUGAAAUUCCAGUUUUACAAAGUUCUUCAAACUUACCUCAAGGAUGGCACCAGCUGAAGCUCAGUUGCCCUGUCUCUUAUGCACCAGUGCAUCUGCCCCAGAAACUCUUAUCUGGGGCUCAGUUUGCCCCCAUGUGGUAUAAGUCCCUCCAAAGAUUCCAUUUCUAGUUACUCGUCUCAAUGUCACAAUGAGAAAUAUUUCUGCAUAUUUCCUGCAAAGCGUCUCAUUAAAGAAAGUAUUGGUUUGAUUCAGAAAAUGCUAUGCUGUUCCAGCUUCACUUUGGAUCUAUAGUUUUAGAAAGUAUCCAACUCUGCUUCUAGUUUAAGCUGCCCUGUUAAAGAGUUAAUGGAAAAAACCCCACUAUGGUAUGAGGAAGGGGUGGGAAUUAACGUUUGGGUCCCAUUCUGUGCCUAAAACACUGGUUCCCUCUAUGUUUUGAGCCUGAAAUUGAGUCGUUCUUAUGGAAGGCAGAUGCUAGAGGAGCUUUCUUUGGGAUUCUCAUUACCCGUUUCCAUCAGACCAGGCCAUUAGAUGGUUGCUUCUAGAAGGAUGGUGCAGCCCUGAGUCUGCAGGGGGCAGACCGGUCACAAAAACCAGAGUGGAGCUGGGGGUCAGACUGGAGUUCAUUGGGUAGGUUCAGUUCACACCCUGGUGCACAGGGUCCACGAAGGCACAACAAGGCACAGGUGAGAGCCAGGAGGGCAAGCAGGGAUCCAAGUGUACACAGCCCAGGGAGCAAGACAAGCAGAGAGGCCUGGAGCCAGAAGGAGGCUCGGAAACAACGAUGCCAGCAGUGAGCUCACGGGUCAGAAGCUUCUGGCCCAAGGCUUUAUGGAGGCCAUGCCUGAGCUGAAUAUUGGUGGCUGAGCAGCCAAUAAACGGAACACAGAUGGGGCCAGGGCAGGGAAUUCCAGGCAGGAGGAACAGCCAGAGAGCAAAGGCAGGGAGGCUGGAAGCUUUGCUGUGUGAGGAUCUGUGUACACACAGGGAAUGCUUCACAGGCUGUAGAGACAGUGACUAGCUUCUGAGAUCAGAGUAGGCUGGGCUGAGUAAUGGGAAGGGUGGAGGGGGCAGAGACCCACAUUACAGCCCGUGGCCCUGAACCCAGGACAAGCCACGGGGGUGGAGGAGCAGGCAGGAGAUGCUCCACCACUGCUGGCAAGGAGCAGGGCAGCCUGCCCAAGGGGGUACUGCCUGGAGCAUCACUGACUUACCCCAUCUGCUGGCGAGGAUACAGAAGCUCAGCCCACAGGGCCACCAUGGAUGGCCCUAAAGGUUGUGUCCUAUGCAAGGGGACCACAGAAGGCUGGUGCCCUGGACAGUUGGCAAGAGGCUGAGCGCAGGGCAGUGAGGGAUGCUCGUGUGCCUGGGGAAAGCUUCCCUGGGCUUCCCUUUUUUUUCUCCAUCUUCACCCUCUCACCCCUCACCCCUCCUGACACCCUGUCCCUUGGGGGAGCACCUAACACCCCUGUGUCCACCUGAACCACACCAGCCCUAACGUGCUGAAUCCCCGCUAAAUGAGCCCAGUGCUCAUCCAUCCAUCCGCGCAUCCGUUGUUCAGUGGGGAAAGUAGCACGUAGCAGGUCCGAGCACAGGCUCUGCAGCCAGAAUUCCUGGGUUCCAUGCCUCACCCAGCCACGUAUUUGCUGUGUGACCUCAGGCAAGCUACUUAGCUUCUCCACGCACGUGUGCUCAUCUAGAAAACGAGGCUGAUGCUCGUGCCCACGUGGCAAUGUGAUGAGUAAUGCUAGUACUCAUCUCUGAGGGUGGAUGGGAGAGACACGCAAAGUGUUUGCAAGGGGGCCGGCACCUGGGAGCACUCAUACAUGUUGGCUGUCACUGUCAUGGAGCACCACCGUGUGCCGGGCUCUGCUUGGUGCUCCUGGGCUGCUCACAUGAGCAAGGUGCUGACUCUGCCAAGGAAGGGUGCUUUUUUUUUCUUUUGGAGAAAGAAAAGGGAUGCUUUCUGCUGCUCCCGCCCUGAAAACACUGCGUGCCCCUCUGCUCUUCUCCUACUAGGCUUGAGAAGCAAGACCAGCACACCCUGAGUUGGGGUGUUGCCUCCUAAGCCACUGGCCAGCAAUUCUGGGGGGGGGGGUGGGGACGCUGAAGAGAAUGCGGGGCUCUGCUGGUGCAGCAUGGACCCUCCUUGGUCUGGUGAGCUGGGAGAAGCAGGACAGCAUGGGGUCCAGUGAUACUAACCGUGUGGAAAUAGAACUCCUCCAGAUUACAGGGCACCUGAGAAUUUCUUACUGACUUUUGUUUAAUAAUUCAAAAACACAUCAAAUCAAACUUAAUCAAGGCAAAAGCUGUCUCUGGAGCCUUCUUCGUGCUUCCUGGAGUCAAGCUCUUACAGAAUCACGGCAGCACCCCCCUCCCUAGCUCACGAAGGAAGCUGGAGGACUCCACAGCUGCUUCAGGAAACAGACUGUCCCCAGGGAACCCUUCAGAGAUCUUGGGACCAGACAGGAUGUACCUGGACUCCUGGAAUUCCCUCUCCAGCCUCCAGGUCCCGUGAGGAUGUGAGCUGGAGCAGUACGGGCUUCCCUGAUCCUUCCUGUGUCCAGACAGCCAACAUGUGCCGCGGGAGCCCUGAGAUGAUUCCGAUGCACGGAGGGAGCCGGGAAACGCUGGUAUUUCUGCCUGUCACUUAUUAUCUGGUUGAGCUGGUGGCGGGAGUCCCGGCCCAUGUGUGUUACCAGAGGGAUGGUCUAGAGAAUGAAUCCAUCUGUCAGAGGCAUCCAAGAAGAAAGGCCUGGGCCAGGAUCACAUGGAAGACCCUGAAGACAGGAUCGGGUCUUGCCUGCCUGGAUUGAACAGAGACGCAGUGACCAGUCCCAUCUGCUCCCACCCUGCUGCCCUCUGAAUCGAGAGUUUGAGGCCAUGACCAGGGUAACGUUCAGCUGGUAGAGACAACACAACCCUGCUGGCUGUUUAAGCCAUGCUGGAGUGGUGCUCACAGGGUAACAAUUUUCAAGUGCUACGGAUGCAAUAGCUCAGCGACUGGCAGCGCAGCACGUACCUGCUGUCGUGGGAGGUGAGAGCCACCAGUGCCCGACAGCGGCUGCAAGGCAGUGGUGGCGCUCUGCAGCCAGCCGGCCCACCCCUCCAACAUCUGCAAGGGGGUGGGAGGCUGCCUCACCAAGCUACCUGCUACUCAUGGGGGCGAUGGGCAUCAGGGUGGCCUGCCUGGAGCCCCGAGAGCACAUAGAAGCUGCCAGAUGAGGGCAGUGAGGCCGAGGGCCGGCAGUAGGGCUGCAGAUGCCCUGAGCCCUAAGGUCAAGGUGGAUGGAACUGCUGUGUAAGUCUGAUGCCGAGGAGACCAGGUCGUUGGGCUUUCAGCCCUGCGGCCGCCAAGUCUCAGGUUAGAGCUCCCUCUCGCGGCCGAUGCUGGGCACUACAUUGCCCAAGACCCAGGUGGGCCGAAGUCUUGAGAAAGGGCUCGCAGUCAUCGUCGCCAGCAGGCAGACACCAGGCACCUACCUCCCCGACAUACCCAGCCUGGUACCUCGAAGACCAGUAGCCUUGAGCUACACUUGGGAUUCCCAAUACAGUUUCAAAACCGUCUAGCUCAUCUUUCAGGAACCUUCCAGGGUUCACAUUCUGAUUUUUCAGUAAGGUUCUCACCUCUGUGACCAAUUACCUUGAGACUGAUGUCCUGCACCAUCCUGGAGUGUUGGGAUCUGCAGGUCGUGAAAAGGGAAACCAAGCAAUCACUUUGGAAUGACUUCCUGGAACUUCCCUGGCCCCUCCUUCGUGUUCUCUGAUGACAGCCAGGAGCUGACUCAGAAACCUCAUAAGAAGCUGAAGGCAUGACGACUUCCCUGUUAAAAAAAAAAUGUCCCACGUGUGGCCGAGUGCCACACCCAGGCAGCUGCCGAAAAAAAGCACCAGACACCAUGCAGCUGGGCCCCAGGGCCCGGCCCAACCCGGUUGGCCUUCUCCGGCACCUGCAGGGAACUUGUCCUGUCUUGUCUCUGCUCGCCCCCUGCUGGCUGCCUGGAGCCAUUCCGUGCUGGUUUCUUCGCGUCUUCUGUCAGGAGAGAGAUGCUGAUGCUUACUCAGGGAUCCGGCGGCUGUGACCCUGAGGCCCCGAGGUGGAUUAACAGAGCCCUCAGCACCGAGUCUCCAAGCUGAAGGCAGUGGUCACACUCCCUGCUGCCCUCCAGGUUUGGAGGGAUGGAGAGGAGAGAGGAGGGGAAGAAGCUACCUUCUUCACUAGCCUUGCUGAGAGACAAGUGGGUACGGCCCACAGGCACCUCCACCAGCCUGCCCUCUACAUCCAGAUUCGCAAG